rnacentral:tRNA from 1 species
AAGUCUUAGAAGCUAAACAGCAGUUAAUCUUGUAAAUUAAAAGAGAAAGGGAUAAAAUCUUUCUAAGAUUUU